UACGGAGGGUGCAAACGUUGCUCGGAAUCAUUGGGCGUAAAGCGCACGUAGGCGGCCUGAUAAGUCGGGUGUGAAAGCCCUGGGCUCAACCCAGGAAGUGCACUCGAAACUGUCAGGCUUGAAUAUGGAAGAGGGUCGCGGAAUUCCCGGUGUAGAGGUGAAAUUCGUAGAUAUCGGGAGGAACGCCGGUGGCGAAAGCGACGUGCUGGACCUCUUCUGACGCGUGAGGCGCGAAAGCCAGGGGAGGCAAACGGG
rnacentral:rRNA from 1 species